rnacentral:rRNA from 1 species
AACGAACGCUGGCGGCAUGCCUAACACAUGCCAGUCGAACGAUACCUUCGGGUCUAGUGGCGCACGGGUGCGUAACGCGUGGGAACCUGCCUUUAGGUUCGGAAUAACUCAGAGAAAUUUGAGCUAAUACCGGAUGAUGUCUUCGGACCAAAGAUUUAUCGCCUUUAGAUGGGCCCGCGUUGGAUUAGCUAGUUGGUGGGGUAAAGGCCUACCAAGGCGACGAUCCAUAGCUGGUCUGAGAGGAUGAUCAGCCACACUGGGACUGAGACACGGCCCAGACUCCUACGGGAGGCAGCAGUGGGGAAUAUUGGACAAUGGGCGAAAGCCUGAUCCAGCAAUGCCGCGUGAGUGAUGAAGGCCUUAGGGUUGUAAAGCUCUUUUACCCGAGAUGAUAAUGACAGUAUCGGGAGAAUAAGCUCCGGCUAACUCCGUG